rnacentral:piRNA from 1 species
UCUUAAGGACAUCAAGGAUUGGGAUUC